AAUGUCAGUCGAGCGGAUGACGGGAGCUUGCUCCUUGAUUCAGCGGCGGACGGGUGAGUAAUGCCUAGGAAUCUGCCUGGUAGUGGGGGACAACGUUUCGAAAGGAACGCUAAUACCGCAUACGUCCUACGGGAGAAAGCAGGGGACCUUCGGGCCUUGCGCUAUCAGAUGAGCCUAGGUCGGAUUAGCUAGUUGGUGAGGUAAUGGCUCACCAAGGCGACGAUCCGUAACUGGUCUGAGAGGAUGAUCAGUCACACUGGAACUGAGACACGGUCCAGACUCCUACGGGAGGCAGCAGUGGGGAAUAUUGGACAAUGGGCGAAAGCCUGAUCCAGCCAUGCCGCGUGUGUGAAGAAGGUCUUCGGAUUGUAAAGCACUUUAAGUUGGGAGGAAGGGCAGUAAGCUAAUACCUUGCUGUUUUGACGUUACCGACAGAAUAAGCACCGGCUAACUCUGUGCCAGCAGCCGCGGUAAUACAGAGGGUGCAAGCGUUAAUCGGAAUUACUGGGCGUAAAGCGCGCGUAGGUGGUUUGUUAAGUUGGAUGUGAAAGCCCCGGGCUCAACCUGGGAACUGCAUCCAAAACUGGCAAGCUAGAGUACGGUAGAGGGUGGUGGAAUUUCCUGUGUAGCGGUGAAAUGCGUAGAUAUAGGAAGGAACACCAGUGGCGAAGGCGACCACCUGGACUGAUACUGACACUGAGGUGCGAAAGCGUGGGGAGCAAACAGGAUUAGAUACCCUGGUAGUCCACGCCGUAAACGAUGUCAACUAGCCGUUGGAAUCCUUGAGAUUUUAGUGGCGCAGCUAACGCAUUAAGUUGACCGCCUGGGGGAGUACGGCCGCAAGGUUAAAACUCAAAUGAAUUUGAC
rnacentral:rRNA from 1 species